UGCCAGCCGCCGCGGUAAUACGGAGGGUGCAAGCGUUAUCCGGAAUCACUGGGUUUAAAGGGUGCGUAGGCGGUUAGAUUAGUCAGAGGUGAAAGGUUGUCGCUUAACGAUAAAACGGCCUUUGAUACUGUCUAACUAGAAUAUGGUUAAGGUAGGCGGAAUGCGUCAUGUAGCGGUGAAAUGCAUAGAUAUGACGUAGAACACCAAUUGCGAAGGCAGCUUACUGGACCACUAUUGACGCUGAGUCACGAAAGCGUGGGGAGCGAACAGGAUUAGAUA
rnacentral:rRNA from 1 species